rnacentral:pre_miRNA from 1 species
UUUGUACUCCCUCCGUUCCUAAAUACUUGUCUUUCUAGACAUUUCAAAUGACUACUACAUACGGAUGUAUGUAGACAUAUUUUAGAGUGUAGAUUCACUCAUUUUGCUCCGUAUGUAGUCACUUGUUGAAAUGCCUAGAAAGACAAGUAUUUAGGAACGGAGGGAGUAUUUA